UACUUUAUUUAUAACAUAUACUUUAUUUCACCGAAAAUCCCUCAUUUAUUAUAAUUAAUUGUUUUAAGGUUAUUUUGAGAUGUGUUACACUACUUUUUAGAGUGAACUUGUAUUUGAACUUGUACUUGUAUUGUAUUUAUUUAUCUACAUGGUGUUAAUGCUGUGAGGUCAUCAACGGGAGCCAUGCUUUUACUCAUUUUGCUCAGAGCCUGAUGAGGAGAGGUAUGUGUUAUGUACGCUCCGCUCUUUUCAAUGCACAUGUAAGCAAAUGUCCCAAAAAAGACAACCGAAAAUGAUAUCGUCAUUGAUUUAGUGUUGCGCUACAGUUUUUAGGAAUAUAUAUUAGUGUGAAUGGGGAUAAUGUUUGACUGCAACUUUGCAAGGUUUGCCCAGCCAGCGUUACCUUUGCGGGUCUCUCAGGUGCAGACAGCGUGAGUUUUCUGACAGGAAUUCAGCACUCUUUUGUCUUUUAUCAGGCUAAUAUAGUUGUGUAUGGCAGUCCAGACGGCAGCAUCAAGCUUGGCUUUGUAUUUGUAUCCAUUCCAUGCAGUCACUAAAAGAGACAACCGGCAGGCUUGUGUCCAGAGACUUGUCUUCCACCUACACCUCACCAGAACACAACGCAGAAAGAGGACCUGAGCCCUAGGACCAUGCCCCAGGACUACCUGACAU